AUGCAUGGGUGAUUUGGAUAUGACAUUUAUCAGUGCUGAUCACCUGGAUUGCCUUGGCUGAUCUGGCUGACUUGGAGGAUUUUCCAUUCUUCCCGUGCAGUU
ensembl:misc_RNA 7SK 7SK RNA